GACGAACGCUGGCGGCGUGCUUAAUACAUGCAAGUCGAACGGAAAGGCCCUGCUUUUGUGGGGUGCUCGAGUGGCGAACGGGUGAGUAACACGUGAGUAACAUGCCCUUAACUUUGGGGUAACUUCAGGAAAAUGGGGCUAAUACAGGAUAGGAGCUCCUGCUGCGUGGUGGGGGUUGGAAAGUUUCGGCGGUUGGGGCUGGACUCGCGGCUUAUCAGCUUGUUGGUGGGGUAGUGGCUUACAAAGGGUUUGACGGGUAGCCUGCCUGAGAGGGUGACCGGCCACAUGGGGCCUACGGUACGGCCCAGUCUCCUACGGGACGCAGUAGUGGGGAAUAUUGCACAACGGGCGGAAGCCUGAUGCAGCGACGCCGCGUUCGGGAUGAUGGCUUUCGAGUUGUAAACCGCUUUCGCAUGUGACGAAGCGUGAGUGACGGUAACGGGUAAAGAAGCACCGGCUAACUACGUG
rnacentral:rRNA from 1 species